rnacentral:rRNA from 1 species
GACGUAGGCGCGAGCGUUGUCCGGAUUUAUUGGGCGUAAAGAGCUCGUAGGCGGCUUGUUGCGUCGACCGUGAAAACCCGGGGCUCAACUUCGGGCUUGCGGUCGAUACGGGCGGGCUAGAGUUCGGUAGGGGAGACUGGAAUUCCUGGUGUAGCGGUGAAAUGCGCAGAGUAUCAAGGAGGAACACCGGUGGCGAAGGCGGGUCUCUGGGCCGAUGACUGACGCUGAGGAGCGAAAGCGUGGGGAGCGAACAGG